CUCAUCUGCAGAAGAACCAGUCAUUUAAGGAAUUGUAAUUUAAUGAAGCUUUUGGAGUUGACAUGCAUAUGAAUUUAUAUAACUAAGAUUGAAUUUUAUACAGGAUUGCUGAAUAUAGGAUACAUCUUUCAUCUUUAAAAUCUUACAUGACUAAUUAGAUAGCCUACUUCUAGCACUUUGUCUUUGCUUUUAAGAGACAACCAUGGAAUUCAUUGUUCUUUUCACUGUUUGUUAUACAAUGGAGGAGGCAUACCCACCCUAGAUUAGACAGUAAACAGGGUCACAGGCAAUCCGUUUGAUGCAGAAAACUCAGGUUUCAAACAUUCAUAGCUAAAUGGCUAUCCAAUGUGAAGGCUUGUAUCUUCACCUUCCUUUCUAAGGGAGCCACAGGCAGCAAUGGUAUGGGAUAAAGCAAGUGAAGAAAACUGCUGUCUGCUCGGAGAACCAUUCUCUCCUUUUUUUUUUUUCCUUUAUACAUUUUUUUUUUUCUUAGCAAUGGUGUGCAACUCACCCGUACCUCGCCUAGUAUGCUCCUUCAGUUACCAUCAGAGUGAAAUGGGAAUUUCAUGAAAAAGAUUGCAACAUAGUACCUUGAAAAUCUGUUCUACUUUCUUCCAGUCUUCAGUGUUUGCCUGGCAUCUCGUUCUGCAAACAGUCUGCUCCCCAACAGAGGGCAGCUCUCCUCAACAACCAUCCGACCCUUCCACUUCCCCUAGAUGUGGAAGUUCUUCCACUCCCUCUCACUUUGGGAAGUUGAGAUCCAGAUCUGAUCUCCUGAGUUAACAGCAAGUUGUUUUGCAAUUAAUUUUACGACUAUUCCCCACAUACAAUAAAAAGGCACGCUUCAAAUAUAUGUAUGUUCUUUCCUCACAGACUUAGCAUCGCUUUCUCCCACAGGCAGUACACUUAUUGAUAAGAUUGGUACACCACAGAGACCCUAGCUCCCUGGUUGAGACCACAGAGAAAACAUGGAAAGGUACACAGUCACAAAGGAAAAAGGCAGGCUGGGCAGGCAGACCAGGUGGGGGCUCCUGAGGAAUCACCCGUCAUCGCGUUCAGUCACUACUGUGGACAAAGCUGGUGGAGAACAGAGCUCAGCAGUGGCAUCUGCUCCCCGGAGCCCCAGCGCCUGGCUCUUCCUGCCUGACUGGCCACCAGCAAUUCCUCACCUUGCUUAUGAGGGGUGGAGAUCACAACUCUCCUUAAUGAGCCUCAUAGCUCAUUAAGUGCUGGCUCUCAUCUCUGCGUGCUAGCCAAUACAUAACUGCUGUAUGCAUUUGAAGUUGUACACAUCCUUUGUGCAGAGGCUCCUUAUGCCCUGCCAAGGAGGCCUAAAAACCCUGACCCCCAAAAGGAAGCAUUAAUAUACUUGAAUAUAGCUUGUAAUAAAAACGUUAUAUGAACACUUCAUAUUUGUAUAUUUUAAAUAUAUUAUCUCAAAUAAUCCACAUUUGUAUGUAAUGUACAUUCUUAGAUUGUCUCCCCCCUUUCAGAUACAAGCAUAAGACAGUAUAUGUACUUCCCCCAGUACAUAAAUUUCCUAGUCUAGCUUCAGAUUUGCAACUAGACUUGCUUCUAUGAAUGCAUU